ACGAACGCUGGCGGCGUGGAUAAGACAUGCAAGUCGAACGGAGAUUGCUGAGCUUGCUUGGCAAUUUGAGUGGCGAACGGGUGAGUAACACGUGAGCAACCUGCCGAAAAGAAGGGGAUAGCUCGGGGAAACUCGAAUUAAUACCGUAUAACGUUUAUCAGGGAUCCUGGUGGAACGAAAGGUGCCUUUAGGGGUGCCGCUUUUCGAUGGGCUCGCGGCCUAUCAGCUUGUUGGUGGGGUAAUGGCCUACCAAGGCGGCGACGGGUAGCCGGCCUGAGAGGGCGACCGGCCACACUGGGACUGAGACACGGCCCAGACUCCUACGGGAGGCAGCAGUGGGGAAUAUUGCACAAUGGGCGGAAGCCUGAUGCAGCGACGCCGCGUGAGGGAUGACGGCCUUCGGGUUGUAAACCUCUUUCGACCCUGACGAAGCGUGAGUGACGGUAGGGGGAGAAGAAGCACCGGCCAACUACGUGCCAGCAGCCGCGGUAAGACGUAGGGUGCGAGCGUUGUCCGGAUUUAUUGGGCGUAAAGAGCUCGUAGGCGGCUCGUCGCGUCGACCGUGAAAACCCGCGGCUUAACUGCGGGCUUGCGGUUGAUACGGGCGGGCUAGAGUUCGGUAGGGGAGACUGGAAUUCCUGGUGUAGCGGUGAAAUGCGCAGAUAUCAGGAGGAACACCGGUGGCGAAGGCGGGUCUCUGGGCCGAUACUGACGCUGAGGAGCGAAAGCGUGGGGAGCGAACAGGAUUAGAUACCCUGGUAGUCCACGCUGUAAACGUUGGGCGCUAGGUGUGGGGGGCCUCUCCGGUUCUCUGUGCCGCAGCUAACGCAUUAAGCGCCCCGCCUGGGGAGUACGGCCGCAAGGCUAAAACUCAAAGGAAUUGACGGGGGCCCGCACAAGCGGCGGAGCAUGCGGAUUAAUUCGAUGCAACGCGAAGAACCUUACCUGGGUUUGACAUGGCCGCUAAAGCCGCAGAGAUGUGGUGUCCUUCGGGGGCGGUCACAGGUGGUGCAUGGCUGUCGUCAGCUCGUGUCGUGAGAUGUUGGGUUAAGUCCCGCAACGAGCGCAACCCUUAUCCGAUGUUGCCAGCGGGUUAUGCCGGGGACUCAUCGGAGACUGCCGGGGUCAACUCGGAGGAAGGUGGGGAUGACGUCAAGUCAUCAUGCCCCUUAUGUCCAGGGCUUCACGCAUGCUACAAUGGCCGGUACAAAGGGCUGCGAUACCGUGAGGUGGAGCGAAUCCCAAAAAGCCGGUCUCAGUUCGGAUCGGGGUCUGCAACUCGACCCCGUGAAGUCGGAGUCGCUAGUAAUCGCAGAUCAGCAACGCUGCGGUGAAUACGUUCCCGGGCCUUGCACACACCGC
rnacentral:rRNA from 1 species